rnacentral:sRNA from 1 species
GAUCAUUGACAUAAUUGAUAAGGCUAAAAACAAAGAGAUAACUAACGUAGAGAGGCUCUAAGCCCUCUACAAUAGCUUGCAAGUAUAGACCUAACGUGCUAUACGCUGAACCAGCAAAAGCGGUGAAGCCCUCGCAGGGUGAUGAACGCAGAGGCUGGCAACCUCGCCCUUCGUAAGGGGCUUGCAAGCAC